rnacentral:piRNA from 1 species
UUAUAGACAGUAAUUCUUGGGGUC